rnacentral:rRNA from 1 species
GGUUAACAAAAACAUGUCUUUUUGAUUAUAAUUUAAAGUCUGGCCUGCCCUAUGAUGAUGAAUUAAAUGGCCGCAGUAUAUUGACUGUGCAAAGGUAGCAUAAUCAUUAGUUUUUUAAUUGAAAGCUGGUAUGAAAGGUUGGAUGAGAAAAUAACUGUCUCUAUUUAAAUUUUUUAGAAUUUUAUUUUUAAGUAAAAAAGCUUAAAUAUUAGUAAAAGACGAGAAGACCCUAUAGAGUUUUAUAUUUUGUAUUAUUUGAGGUUUUAGAAUUUUAAAGUUAACAUUUUAGGAAGUAUUUGAUUGGGGUGAUUGAAAAAAUAGAUUAACUUUUUUUUUAUUUUAACAAUUAUUUUUGGUUAUUUGAUCCUUUAUUUAAAGAUUAAAAGAUUAAAUUACCUUAGGGAUAACAGCGUAAUUUUUUUUAAGAGUUCUAAUCGAAAAAAGAGAUUGCGACCUCGAUGUUGAAU